rnacentral:rRNA from 1 species
AACGAACGCUGGCGGCAUGCCUAACACAUGCAAGUCGAACGAGAUCUUCGGGUCUAGUGGCGCACGGGUGCGUAACGCGUGGGAAUCUGCCCUUUGGUUCGGAAUAACAGUUGGAAACGACUGCUAAUACCGGAUGAUGACGAAAGUCCAAAGAUUUAUCGCCAGAGGAUGAGCCCGCGUAGGAUUAGCUAGUUGGUGUGGUAAAGGCGCACCAAGGCGACGAUCCUUAGCUGGUCUGAGAGGAUGAUCAGCCACACUGGGACUGAGACGCGGCCCAGACUCCUACGGGAGGCAGCUGUGGGGAAUAUUGGACAAUGGGCGAAAGCCUGAUCCAGCAAUGCCGCGUGAGUGAUGAAGGCCUUAGGGUUGUAAAGCUCUUUUACCCGGGAUGAUAAUGACAGUACCGGGAGAAUAAGCUCCGGCUAACUCCGUGCCAGCCGCCGCAGUAA